rnacentral:rRNA from 1 species
UACGGAGGGUGCAAGCGUUAUCCGGAUUCACUGGGUUUAAAGGGUGCGUAGGCGGACAGGUAAGUUCAGUGGUGAAAUCUCCUGGGCUUAACUCAGAACUGCCGUUGAUACUAUUUGUCUUGAAUAUCUUGGAGGUAAGCGGAAUAUGUCAUGUAGCGGUGAAAUGCUUAGAUAUGACAUAGAACACCGAUAGCGAAGGCAGCUUACUACAGGAAG